rnacentral:rRNA from 1 species
GACGUAGGGUGCGAGCGUUGUCCGGAUUUAUUGGGCGUAAAGAGCUCGUAGGCGGCUCGUCGCGUCGACCGUGAAAACCCGCGGCUUAACUGCGGGCUUGCGGUUGAUACGGGCGGGCUAGAGUUCGGUAGGGGAGACUGGAAUCCCUGGUGUAGCGGUGAAAUGCGCAGAUAUCAGGAGGAACACCGGUGGCGAAGGCGGGUCUCUGGGCCGAUACUGACGCUGAGGAGCGAAAGCGUGGGGAGCGAACAGG